ACGGAGGGUGCAAGCGUUGUUCGGAAUUACUGGGCGUAAAGCGUACGUAGGCGGUUGAUUAAGUCAAAUGUUAAAGCCCGGGGCUCAACCCCGAGGAUGCAUUUGAUACUGGUCGACUAGAGGGCGAUAGAGGAAAGCGGAAUUCCGAGUGUAGCGGUGAAAUGCGUAGAUAUUCGGAGGAACAUCGGUAGCGAAAGCGGCUUUCUGGGUCGCUCCUGACGCUGAGGUACGAAAGCGUGGGUAGCAAACGGGAUUAGAUACCCCGGUAGUCCACGCCGUAAACGAUGGAUACUAGGUGUAGCGGGUAUCGACCCCUGCUGUGCCGUAGCUAACGCGUUAAGUAUCCCGCCUGGGGAGUACGCACGCAAGUGUG
rnacentral:rRNA from 1 species